UUUAGUGUUAACGAAAUUUCGAUAAAAUCCAUUCGCUUUAGUACACGGCGUAAACACUGUUAUCAAUACGAUUAAUUUAAUUCAGUUGUUACAGGAGGAAAGUUAAUUGUAAAGUGCAAACGUAUAAGUUAGUCUAGAAAGGCAAAUUCACCGAACGUUCGGUGACCUCAUUGUGAAGAAAUGGUGACAUAAACGGUCUCUGUCGGGGUAAAUACAAGCUUCGUUAUUCUGAAAAUUUCCGAACUACGAGAGGCAAUUUUGUACAAGAAUAGGUACCAUCCCAAGAAAGAUCCAGUUUUCAAUUUUUCUUGAAGGGAGCUUUUUUCAAGGAAAGGCCAUUGUGGCAUUAAGCCUAUAUAAAAACUAGUACUGAUUCUUACAACAUUCCGUCGUAUGAAAUUAAAUCCAAUUUGGUUUGAGAAACAACAAAACGUAUCUUUGGUGGUACAAAAACUUGUACCUGAUAAUCGCGUGGCUUUGGCGUGUUCCUUUCUUUUCUCGCUGAAAUGUGGGCCAUUUAACAUCGGUGCAAAAGUAGUUUUACUAUGAACACGAGUGCGGUAAUUUCUUUAGGGAUCUCGUAGCUCUAAGGCUUCGGCUGAAAGAUGAUAGAGGACUGAGCUUUUCCAACUAUAUCUGGCGUUCCGCUGCGGGUCCUGUAGGUUUCGGAAUUUCCGGAUCCACUGACUGGGACUUUCUAUGCGGCAAAACCGUCAUUGGAUGGGUCACCUUUGCACUCUCGGAAAGCAGGGCAGAUGGAAGAAGCGGUCGCAUUAGGCCAUGCGAACUAAGCUUCAUGUUGACUGGGAAGAUCUCAAGAUCGCUUAGCGCAGGUACUAUGCGAUCAAAAAUGAGUCGCUUUCGAGUCACCUUUGGAGUUUUUGUUUACGUGGGAAAUCGUAUUUAACUUGAACUUCCAAAGGCGACUCGACAGCAACUCAUUUUUGAUCUCCCGUUAUAAGAACCAUACUGGAAGGUCACGGAGGACCUUCUGUGGUAACAUGGAGGGACUUACACAGUGCAGGGCUUUAUUACCUUUUGAGAACAUGGCAAAUCUGGGCCUUCUAAGCUUCUAAGCCAUAUUAGUAAGAUCACCUGUAUCCGUACGGGUCACUGGUCGGUCAACUACAACCUACACAACAUUGGUGUUGCAGGAGAGCCCACGUACAUCUGAAUUGGGCAUUAUCUUCGCUCACGAAAUUUCACUUCUUUUCUGUUGUAGGUACAGUGGAACUGUCGAAGUGUAAGCACCUUUCAAUGGUUCUUGAAAGAAACUUAAUUCCUUACAACAUCCACUUGUACGUUAAAAGCGAACAGUGGCCGGCGAAGAAAUAUUGAAUAUCGUCCGCCUUUACUUAUUAAGAAUGAAAAAUGUGGCAGAAGGGAAAUGGUAUCGUUGAAGUUUGGGAUUGGACAAAUUGGAUGAGUAAAUGAUGUGUAUAACUACUUUGAAUAUCAAACAAGCCAAUAUCUUAACCCAUCGAAAUUUCUACCCAAUUUAGGUAGAUCAAAGGUGGUUCCUUCGUGGGAUUUUAAGCAAGUUUAGCUAUCCCUUACAGUAUUUUUCUGAUCAAGUUACUUUGUGCUUACUAUGACAUCUUGUAACGUGAAUGUAUCAUUAUCCAACAUACGAUUCAACUAAAAGAAGCCUAGGUGUCAUUUGCCUAUUUUUGUAUAGCACAUUUACCCUAUCAUCUAGCUUAAUUUCGAGUUAGUUCCAGUUCAAUAAGUUUUUCGGAUUGAUGGCUUGCAAUUUAGGCCCAAAUAUUCUUACUUGCCGUAAAUUUAAAAAGAAAAUAGUGCAAAUCUAGGUGCAAAUUUUAAAUUACGACUCUAUGGUUAAAUUAAACCUAAUUUUUGUUCUAUAGAUCACGAUUUACAUUAAGACCCCUUUGAACGAUUCUUUAAAGGACACUCUUAAAUAAUCUCUAAAAAUCGCAACGUUUUGAAAAAUCUAUUGAAGAAUUUCUUUGUGGAUCCUUUAACUUUUAAAAUCUCCUGAGGAACUCUUGAAU